UUUCCGUAGGUGAACCUGCGGAAGGAUCAUUCACAAUAAGUGUUUUAUGGCACUUUUUCAAUCCAUAUCCACCUUGUGUGCAAUGUUGUCUUGUAGUGCGAAUGCUUGUCAUUUGCGCUACAGGAUGUAAACAUCAACCCUUAUCUUUAACAACUUUGUCUAAAACCUGUAUGAAUACUUAAUUCAAAUACAACUUUCAACAACGGAUCUCUUGGCUCUC
rnacentral:misc_RNA from 1 species